AAUAGAUACCCUGGUAGUCCACGCCGUAAACGAUGAGUGCUAAGUGUUAGGGGGUUUCCGCCCCUUAGUGCUGCAGCUAACGCAUUAAGCACUCCGCCUGGGGAGUACGGUCGCAAGACUGAAACUCAAAGGAAUUGACGGGGGCCCGCACAAGCGGUGGAGCAUGUGGUUUAAUUCGAAGCAACGCGAAGAACCUUACCAGGUCUUGACAUCCCAUUGACCACUAUGGAGACAUAGUUUUCCCUUCGGGGACAACGGUGACAGGUGGUGCAUGGUUGUCGUCAGCUCGUGUCGUGAGAUGUUGGGUUAAGUCCCGCAACGAGCGCAACCCUUGUUCUUAGUUGCCAUCAUUUAGUUGGGCACUCUAAGGAGACUGCCGGUGACAAACCGGAGGAAGGUGGGGAUGACGUCAAAUCAUCAUGCCCCUUAUGACCUGGGCUACACACGUGCUACAAUGGACGGUACAAACGGUUGCCAACCGCGAGGGGGAGCUAAUCCGAUAAAACCGUUCUCAGUUCGGAUUGUAGGCUGCAACUCGCCUACA
rnacentral:rRNA from 1 species